rnacentral:rRNA from 1 species
AGCGAACGCUGGCGGCAGGCCUAAUACAUGCAAGUCGAACGCACCUUCGGGUGAGCGGCGGACGGGUGAGUAACGCGUGGAACGUGCCCUUUGGUUCGGAACAACACAGGGAAACUUGUGCUAAUACCGAAUGUGCCCUUCGGGGAAGGAUUAUCGCCAUUGGAGCGGCCCGCGUUGGAUUAGGUAGUUGGUGGGGUAAAAGACCUACCAAGCCUACGAUCCAUAGCUGGUCUGAGAGGANGAUCAGCCACACUGGGACUGAGACACGGCCCAGACUCCUACGGGAGGCAGCAGUAGGGAAUCUUGCGCAAUGGGCGAAAGCCUGACGCAGCCAUGCCGCGUGAAUGAUGAAGGUUCUUA